ACGGAGGGUGCGAGCGUUAAUCGGAAUUACUGGGCGUAAAGCGUGCGUAGGUGGCAAUGUAAGUAGGAUGUGAAAGCCCCGGGCUUAACCUGGGAACUGCAUUCUAAACUGCAUAGCUAGAGUAUGGGAGAGGAAAGUGGAAUUCCAGGUGUAGCGGUGAAAUGCGUAGAUAUCUGGAGGAACAUCAAAGGCGAAGGCAGCUUUCUGGACCAAUACUGACACUGAGGUACGAAAGCGUGGGUAGCAAACAGG
rnacentral:rRNA from 1 species